rnacentral:rRNA from 1 species
GACGAACGCUGGCGGCGUGCUUAACACAUGCAAGUCGAACGGAAAGGCCCUGCUUUUUUGGGGUGCUCGAGUGGCGAACGGGUGAGUAACCCGUGAGUAACCUGCCCUUGACUUUGGGAUAACUUCAGGAAACUGGGGCUAAUACCGGCUAGGAGCUCCUGCUGCAUGGUGGGGGUUGGAAAGUUUCGGCGGUUGGGGAUGGACUCGCGGCUUAUCAGCUUGUUGGUGGGGUAGUGGCUUACCAAGGCUUUGACGGGUAGCCGGCCUGAGAGGGUGACCGGCAACAUUGGGAAUGAGAUACGGCCCAGACUCGUAAGGGAGGCAGCAGGGGGGAAUAGUGUACAAUGGGCGGAAGCCUGAUGAAGCAACGCCGCGUGCGGGAUGACGGCCUUGGGGUUGGAAAGCGCUGUAGCCUGUGACGAAGCGUGAGUGACGGUAAUGGGUAAAGAAGCACCGGCUAACUACGUG